ensembl:lncRNA
ACAGACUGACUGGCACCCAGGCUAGGUUGAGAGGUACAGACUGACUGGCACCCAGGCUAGGUUGAGAGGUACAGACUGACUGGCACCCAGGCUAGGUUGAGAGGUACAGACUGACUGGCACCCAGGCUAGGUUGAGAGGUACAGACUGACUGGCACCCAGGCUAGGUUGAGAGGUACAGACUGACUGGCACCCAGGCUAGGUUGAGAGGUACAGACUGACUGGCACCCAGGCUAGGUUGAGAGGUACAGAUCGACUGGCAUCUACAGGUGUUUCACUCAUUAUGUCCUUUACGUUUCCACGCAGCAUCCAGCUAUUCACAAUCUUGCACAUGCUGCCCAUGAUGGUGUCAUGACUGGCACCCAGGCCACACACACACACACACACACACACACACACACACACA